GGACUACCGGGGUAUCUAAUCCCGUUCGAUCCCCUGGCUUUCGUGUGUGAGCGUCAGGAACGCGCUAGUGCACUGCCUUCGCCUUUGGUGUUCCCCACGAUAUCAACGGAUUUCACCCCUCCACCGUGAGUUCCAUGCACCUCUCGCGCCCUCGAGUCGUACCGUUUCGCUUGCGGACCGUAAGUUAAGCUCACGGAUUUUACAAACGACUAAUACGACCGCCUGGACACCCUUUACGCCCAGUGAUUCCGGAUAACGCUCGGGGCCUCUGUAUUACCGCGGCUGCUGGCAC
rnacentral:rRNA from 1 species